rnacentral:rRNA from 1 species
GCUCCAGACUCCUACGGGAGGCAGCAGUGGGGAAUAUUGGGCAAUGGGCGCAAGCCUGACCCAGCAACGCCGCGUGAAGGAAGAAGGCUUUCGGGUUGUAAACUUCUUUUAAGAGGGAAGAGUAGAAGACGGUACCUCAUGAAUAAGCCACGGCUAACUACGUGCCAGCAGCCGCGGUAAUACGUAGGUGGCAAGCGUUAUCCGGAUUUACUGGGUGUAAAGGGAGCGUAGACGGUUAAUCAAGUCUGAAGUGAAAGCCCGCGGCUCAACUGCGGAACGGCUUUGGAAACUGAGUAACUGGAGUGCUGGAGGGGCAGGCGGAAUUCCUGGUGUAGCGGUGAAAUGCGUAGAUAUCAGGAGGAACACCGGUGGCGAAGGCGGCCUGCUGGACAGUAACUGACGUUGAGGCUCGAAAGCGUGGGGAGCAAACAGGAUUAGAUACCCUUGUAGG